UAAGGAAUAUUGGUCAAUGGAGGCAACUCUGAACCAGCCAUGCCGCAUGCAGGAAGAAGGCCCUAUGGGUCGUAAACUGCUUUUGAACAAGAGAAAACCCCGGUACGUGUACUGGGUUGAUAGUAUUGUUAGAAUAAGCAUCGGCUAACUUCGUGCCAGCAGCCGCGGUAAGACGAAGGAUGCAAGCGUUAUCCGGAUUCAUUGGGUUUAAAGGGUGCGUAGGCGGACUGAUAAGUCAGUGGUGAAAUCUCUCGGCUUAACCGAGAAACUGCCAUUGAUACUGUUAGUCUAGAGUACAGAUGAUGUGGGCGGAAUAUGACAUGUAGUGGUGAAAUACUUAGAUAUGUCAUAGAACACCGAUUGCGAAGGCAGCUCACAAAACUGUAACUGACGCUGAGGCACGAAAGUGCGGGGAUCAAACAGGAUUAGAUACCCUAGUAGUCCCUGAGCGGGCUGGCAAGGCGCAU
rnacentral:rRNA from 1 species